rnacentral:rRNA from 1 species
CCUACGGGAGGCAGCAGUGAGGAAUAUUGGUCAAUGGACGAGAGUCUGACCCAGCCACGUAGCGUGAAGGAUGACUGCCCUCUGGGUUGUAAACUUCUUUUAUAAAGGAAUAAAACGAGGCACGUGUGCCUUUUUGCAUGUACUUUAUGAAUAAGGAUCGGCUAACUCCGUGCCAGCAGCCGCGGUAAUACGGAGGAUCCGAGCGUUAUCCGGAUUUAUUGGGUUUAAAGGGAGCGUAGAUGGGUUGUUAAGUCAGGUGUGAAAGUUUGCGGCUCAACCGUAAAAUUGCAAUUGAUACUGGCAGUCUUGAGUACAGUUGAGGUAGGCGGAAUUCGUGGUGUAGCGGUGAAAUGCUUAGAUAUCACGAAGAACCCCGAUUGCGAAGGCAGCUUACUAAACUGUGACUGACAUUGAUGCUCGAAAGUGUGGGUAUCAAACAGGAUUAGAUACCCGAGUAGUC